GACGAACGCUGGCGGCGCGCCUAACACAUGCAAGUCGAACGAGCGAGAGAGAGCUUGCUUUCUCGAGCGAGUGGCGAACGGGUGAGUAACGCGUGAGGAACCUGCCUCAAAGAGGGGGACAACAGUUGGAAACGACUGCUAAUACCGCAUAAGCCCACGGCGCCGCAUGGCACAGAGGGAAAAGGAGCAAUCCGCUUUGAGAUGGCCUCGCGUCCGAUUAGCUAGUUGGUGAGGUAAUGGCCCACCAAGGCGACGAUCGGUAGCCGGACUGAGAGGUUGAACGGCCACAUUGGGACUGAGACACUGCCCAGACUCCUACGGGAGGCAGCAGUGGGGAAUAUUGCACAAUGGGGGAAACCCUGAUGCAGCGACGCCGCGUGGAGGAAGAAGGUCUUCGGAUUGUAAACUCCUGUUGUUGGGGAAGAUAAUGACGGUACCCAACAAGGAAGUGACGGCUAACUACGUG
rnacentral:rRNA from 1 species